AGUGAACGCUGGCGGUAGGCCUAACACAUGCAAGUCGAACGGCAGCACAGUAAGAGCUUGCUCUUACGGGUGGCGAGUGGCGGACGGGUGAGGAAUACAUCGGAAUCUACUUUUUCGUGGGGGAUAACGUAGGGAAACUUACGCUAAUACCGCAUACGACCUACGGGUGAAAGCAGGGGAUCUUCGGACCUUGCGCGAUUGAAUGAGCCGAUGUCGGAUUAGCUAGUUGGCGGGGUAAAGGCCCACCAAGGCGACGAUCCGUAGCUGGUCUGAGAGGAUGAUCAGCCACAGUGGAACUGAGACACGGUCCAGACUCCUAAGGGAGGCAGCAGUGGGGAAUAUUGGACAAUGGGCGCAAGCCUGAUCCAGCCAUACCGCGUGGGUGAAGAAGGCCUUCGGGUUGUAAAGCCCUUUUGUUGGGAAAGAAAAGCAGCAGGUUAAUACCCCGCUGUUCUGACGGUACCCAAAGAAUAAGCACCGGCUAACUUCGUG
rnacentral:rRNA from 1 species